GAAUAAAUACCUCACAGCAUUUUAGGUUUGUGCUCCACGUGGGAAGUUUCCAAACUGUCAGCGUCUGUCUCCCUUCAGAAGACAGCCCAUUGCGCAGAUGGGGCUCCAAACAAUAGAUGGAACUGCCAUUUCAUUUUUUAUUAUGUUUUUCCAUUGCUAUUUAUGCCUCUUAUACCCUGCUCUCUACAGUCUAAAUAUUUAUGAAUAAAGCUUGAAAUAGCACUUGCUUUUCUGAGAGUUUCUUCAUUAGAGUAAUUUAGUUUAAACAUAAAAUACUCUAGUUCUUUGUCACAAGCCCCACUCUGUACUCACGCAGAAGUUUCUGUGGCCUACAUUGAAUGCUGUGUCCAUGCAUCCUCCUUAAUUUCACCUUCCUCUUUCAGCUGUCAUUUCAAGCUGUUGGUUCAGUGACGGUGAAUCUCCAAUUUACUUCCGACAAUGUUUUACAGUGAAAAUUGAAACCUUCCUGUGGAUUAGCAGUAGGAGGUCAUCAUCCUUGAUUUCUCUGGCCCUUCAUGGAGAUUACUGUACUGUUGGUGCCAGCCAGUGUUGGGCAACGUAAGAAAAAAAUCUGAUUUAAUUAUUAAAAAUACCUGGAUAAACACCAAGAUACAUGCACAGUGUUGUAAUUGAAUCCACUGAUGUCUAUAAACAUGAUUUUUAAAAACUUUUAAGUCUGUCCUUUUUUACUUUUGUGGGCUUUUAAAAGAAUUAUUAUUUCUCAUUGUUUUUAUGAAUUUGUCUUGCUGGUCCGAUGCCAGACACUGGAUUGUGUACUGUGGAUCAGGGAUGGCACUGCUGGGCUCUGACUCAUUCCCUAAAUUAAGAGAUGGCUCUGAAUGUUUUCUCAAGGAAUAUGACAGAGAUGGCAUUAUGCCAGUUAAGAGCCUAGUGCUCAAGAUGCCUCCUGCAUUUGUUUAUGCUGGGUCUCUCUGGGUGCUGCUGAGAAGAGCCCUCAUCCAUGGAGAUGAUCCAUUUCAGCUUGGGCCAUCUCAAACCCACCAGCUGACCACAAACGGACACAUGAGCAAGGCCUCUGAGAUCAGCCAAAUACAGCCCAGACCAGCAGAACUGCCCAGCAACUUAAAUAAUUAUGAGACACAUAAAUGUUUUUUGUUUUAAGUCACUACAUUAUAAAGCUGCAGCUAAAUGAAACUUUCCUGUCAGAUCUAUCAUGACUAUGUGUCCAGUACUGUGUGCUAGUCGACAGGAUACAAAGACAAACCAUAACCCCAGAUUGGUUCCCUGAUCUCAGUUCACAGUGUAACUGGUGUGUAGACACCUACACACAGAAGCGUCUGUGCUACACAUAUGCUCAGAUAGUCUAAUCCAAGGUGGUGAGGCAGAUUCCUAAAAUGAGUAAGUGUUUGCCUAGUAGAUACAAGGAAAGCAUUGUUCUGGAGAGAGAGAGAGAGAUAGAGACACAAACGACAAAGUGAAGGUGGGACUGGAAGAUAGUUCUGUGUGGCUGGACAUAGGCAGAGAAGAAAAGUGGGAAUUCAAUGAGAAGGACUGGAGAGUGCAGAUGGGCAGCUUCCGCAGCUGCUCCAAGAUGAAUUUCAUCUCCAAAUGUUUAGAAAUGCUGUGAAGCAAUGAAGACUCCAUCUGGGACAACAUAAAUGAACCUGGAGAACAUUACGUGAUGUGAAAUAAACCAGACACAGAAAGACAAAUACUUCAGAAUCUCACUUACACAUGGAAUUUUAAAAACUUAAACUUGCAGAACAAGUGUAGAAUGGUGGCUGCCAGAGGCUGGGGUUUGGGCACAUGGGGAGGUGCGGGUCACGAGGUACAGCAUUAUUCAGUUUUAAGAUGACUGAGUUCUGGCCAGUGUAUAGUAUGGUGACCGUCGUAAACAGCAGUGCAUUGUGUGCUGGAAAUGUGCAAUUUGAAUAGAUGGUGAGUGUUCUCGCCGCUCACAAACACACACACACAAAAGGCAACUACGGGAGGUAUUGUGUUAAAUAACUUAUUGUGGCAGUCAUUUCACAAUGUGUAUGUAUAUUAAAUCAUCUCCUAUGUGGUUCACAAAAAUCACAAUGUAUAACUUGAAUCAUCAUUUUCAACUGGUGUGCCACCGAAUUUUUAAAAUGUGUAAUACUUGACUAUUUAGUGAGGGCGCUGACCUCUUUUCUCUUAGAUUGUCAAAUAAAGAAAAAUGACAACAACCAAUACAA